CCAGACAGCAAGUGUGAAAAAUCGGGACAGGGGGUGGGGGGUAAUAGGAGCCUAUAUAAGAAAAAGACCCAAAAAUCGGGACUGUCCCUAUAAAAUCGGGACAUCUGGUCACCCUAAUGGCAUCGCACUCCAGUCUAGAGCUCCACCUACGUCACUUUCAGUGAUCUCUGCUGGGUCCAGACCAACACAGACGCCAGAACAAGGCUCCCAGGGCGAGCACGACCUUUCCCCCAAACACAUGCUAGUGGGUUCCUUCCCCUUUCUCUCUGCCUGGGAGACACACAAGCAGCCCUGCUGGGACUUGCAUUUGGUCCGAUUCUCUGCUGCCCUGGCUUCAAAUGGAUGCAAAACGCUACUCGGUGAAGCCAGUAACGAUUCGUUCCCACUUUGCACUGGUGCAAAUAACUGUGCAAGGUGCAGGGGGAAUGGGGCCCUUGGUAUCAUUUACACCAGGGUAGAAUUUGACCCACUCUCUUUAAACCUGUCCUCAGCAGCAAGCGGACGAGCAGGAAUUAGCUGCUGGGUGUGGGUUUGCCAGGGCUUUCUUUAGCCAAAACCAUUGGCAUUUCGAGCAGACGGGAUGGCGUUUGGAGCAGGGGCAGUAGCUGGAGCGAGGAAGCAGAGCUCCCUCCCCCACCCCCCACCUUGUCAGGGCUGUUUUAAAAGCAUUGCUCUUAGAUGCAGGGAUUUUUUUGAUUCCCAUUAACGCCAAAUGCCCCUUUCCCCUGGAGUCCCGCAGAGCUGGGGGGUGGCAGCAUCCACACCCUGUCCUGCCCGGAGCGACGCUCAGCUCCAGUAACCCCGGGGUCACUUUGUUACCUUGUCUCACACUCACUGCGUUGCUGCUGCUUCUUCUUUCUAGUCUGGGUUUGUCUGAAUAAAAUUCAUCUGUGAGCGAGUGGAGUUCUGGGCGGUGUCUUUCUUCGGACCUCGGGGCUCGGCGCUCUAGGUGGAAGUGAAAGAUAAGGGUGCUGGCUCUUGUCUGUAGCCCCUCCAGUCUCCCAGGCCCUGUGUCAGCUCCCACUGGCCAGAGACCAGACCUCUGGCUGACCCCACACACUGCACUGCUGCUCUCCGUCCCUGCACGGCCCCAUUCUGCUGGGUGCUGCACCCCACCCCUGGCGCUGGACAGCGGCUGCCCUGGGCAGCUCCCUCUCCCGAGACACAUUUCCGUAGUACAGGUGGGGAAUUGGGCACCCAGUUCCCAUGGCACUCGCCACCUCCUGGUCCCACAGGGAGUCGGUACCAAUGCCAGAACUGAACCCAGUUCUCCUGAGGCCCAGACGAGUCCAUCGCUUUGUCAUAAAAAUCUCCUGGCCUUCCCGAGGAGUGGGAGCGCAUGGCUGCCCCAAAGGCAGCGGGCUGGGAAGCGGGCCCCCUUGGUGCCGGGUAUCCACCCCGCUUGCUGCUGCAGGGAAUGGGGCUUCCAAGGUGUGACGCAGUAGGGAGCGGGGAGGAUUGACCUGGGACUGUCUGCAUGGGGGAUGGGAGAGCAGGGGAUGACUCCACUUGAGUGAGGAUACCUGAGCUGGGAACGGGGUUGGACCCAGUUGACACCUUUGCCGGGGAAACUGGACAAAGGCGGGGGAAGGAGUGAGACUGCUGCAGUGGAGUAUCAGUCUUGGGCUGGCUGGGGAAUCGUAGGGAACCCCGAGGUUGGGGUCUAAGCUUCCUACCCCCCAGAAGGACCUGACUGAGGGGUCCUGGUUGUACCUACACGCUCUGCUUGGGAGUGUGUUCCUGUCGUCUAAUAAAUCUUCUGUUCUACUGCCUGGCUGAGAGUCACGGUGAAUCGCAGGAAGCCGGGGGUCACAGGGCCUUGUCUCCCCCCCAACUCCAUGACACAAGGUUAUUAAUUGAUUUCAGGAAGAGCUUAAUCUAGAAUGGCACAGGGGCACGGGAGUCACUCAGGCCCCGUCAGUGUUCGACACCUGCUGCUGCAGCCAUAACCCCUCAGCUGCUUAAAAUCUCCCUGGUGGGGGGACACCACUGAGGAGCCCCAUUAGUAGAGCAGCCCUCUCCCCUCUGCUGCACGCCUGCCAGAUCGCAAGCGCCGUCAGGGCUGGGCUGGGUCAUUCACCUGUCCUACCUCGUAGCCUGUUUGCCCCGGUGCGGAAGUUCAGGCCGGGGGUGAGAAGGGAGCCUGGUGCUGAAGUUUGUUGCAAGCCGGGGAGGAGGGACAGGAGCCCUGGAGUGGGCUAGCGCCAGCCCUAGAUAACCCAAAACAAACUGCCAGUGUCCAGGUUUCCAUGCCACUUACCAAGGCUCGGGGCACCCUCUGGUGGCCAAAGGCAGGGACAGAGGGGUUUGAAAAUCGACUCUCCUCCCCGGCACCGGGAAGGCGGCUGCACUGCUCAGAGGGAGGCUCGCUCAGUGUGGGGAGAAGCAGGCCCCACAGACGGAGAAGUGCCAGGGGCCCGACAGGCUGAGCCCCCACUGGGCACCGAUGAAAAGGCAGUUUGGAGACCAGCUGAGCCAUUUGGAGACUCGGACCCCACUCGUUGGCGCUGUAGCUUGGCAAUCUGCCCGGAGCUCCCGAGGUCACUUACACCAGGGCCGCAGGCGUGUGAGCGGCAGCGAGCCAGACGGGGCGCGGGAAAGGCUGGCUCAAUAAGGUCUAGGCUAGGAUGUGACGGUAUGACAUGACCACACUGGCUACCGACUGUUUGCAGCCAAGGCCUUUAACAGGGUGGAACUGGCUCAGGUAACGCCUCAGCGCCGCUAACACAGCUUAACCUCGCGCCCGAAAGCCUCAGCUAGCCCAGGUCUCAACCGCAUGGCUAAGCGGUGAUGGGCACUGCAGCACCGGAGGCGGGGGAACGGUAUACACAGCUAUCGAAUGCCAGAGACAUACACGCUGCUUAGGCAUGUCUCUUUAAGGCAAGUGCAAGGGACUGUGGGGGUGAAAACCCCAAAUGAUGAUUUUUAAUGCCCGUUUUUCAGAUGUAAAGGGACAACAUCCACACGCAACCAUUGUGUUUCUGCCUGCCUAGCACCUCUGCGUAGCAGCCAGGGCCCAGGCCUGGGACUGGGGCUGCAGGAGCAGAGCGGUGCCUGGGAUGGCGCAGCAGGGCGGGAGGGAGCUGGACCAGAGGCUCUGCACGCUGAGGAGGUGGCUGGCAGAGAGCCCAGCCGGAGCUGCCCGACCCCGAGCCACAGCUGCCCAGUGCCAGCACAUGGCUGGGCGGUGAUGACUGGCUGAUUGAGAGGAGCGGGGAGAGAGCUCACAUCAAGAGCACGCUCCACCACACGCCGAACAGGCUCCAGCCCUACCUGCAGCACAUCGCGAG